rnacentral:rRNA from 1 species
GUGGGGAAUAUUGGACAAUGGGGGGAACCCUGAUCCAGCCAUGCCGCGUGUGUGAAGAAGGCCUUUUGGUUGUAAAGCACUUUAAGUGGGGAGGAGGCUUACAUGGUUAAUACCUGGGCUAAGUGGACGUUACCCACAGAAUAAGCACCGGCUAACUCUGUGCCAGCAGCCGCGGUAAUACAGAGGGUGCGAGCGUUAAUCGGAUUUACUGGGCGUAAAGCGCGCGUAGGUGGUUAAUUAAGUCAAAUGUGAAAUCCCCGAGCUUAACUUGGGAAUUGCAUUCGAUACUGGUUAGCUAGAGUAUGGGAGAGGAUGGUAGAAUUCCAGGUGUAGCGGUGAAAUGCGUAGAGAUCUGGAGGAAUACCGAUGGCGAAGGCAGCCAUCUGGCCUAAUACUGACACUGAGGUGCGAAAGCAUGGGGAGCAAACAGGAUUAGAUACCCCAGUAGUCC